rnacentral:tRNA from 1 species
GGGUUGUUAGUUCAGUGGUUAGAGCUUAGGACUUGUGACCGGAAGAUCCCAGGUUCGAAUCUCGCCAGAGGUAG